rnacentral:rRNA from 1 species
CGCCUUAAAAACACAGAACACAGUGUGUUCUGCUGGGCGCUUGAUCAUGUUGCCAGAUUCCUAAGGCGUAACUUUGCUUACUCAUCUUUCUAUAGAGGAUACUUGGAAGAACCUUGUUUUUGGGUGGAGACAAACAAUACCACACUCAGCCUCCUCUAAUCAAAUGCCGAAGUUGCGUGGGGGUUCCUUCUGAUAAUAUCGUUGUUCUCGUAUGUUGCUCCAAUUUCUUCAGAAUUAUGUAGACUCUAUUUCGUCUGA